rnacentral:tRNA from 1 species
GUAGACAUAGUUUAAUAAAAACGUUAGAUUGUGAUUCUAAAAACAGGAGAUAAAAUCCCCUUGUCCACC